CACUGGAGCUCUGGUGCGCAACCUUGGCACCACUUCCCCAGGCUGGAUAACCACUCUAGCCCGGACCCUCCAGAGUGCAGGCACAGGUUGAACAGGGCUGUGGGUAAGCAAGGGAGAUCUAGUGCUUACUACACGCCUUCGGCUCCAUUCCCACAUUCGCCCGGCACGAGCGGAGCGCAGGCAGAGGAUGCACUGCACCCUCCCAGCGCCCCGGAGACACAGCACGCAGAGCCGGCGCAGGAUACCCUGGACCAAAACUGCGUACCGGCGACCAGACCCGCAGAGCCGCCACCGCGGACAGACGCCCACCCAGACCCUCCCCUAUAGGUCAAGGUUUUGCGGCCGGAGUCCGCACCUUUGGGAGGGGUGGGGGGGGGGGUACUGUCACGUUCUGACCUCUAUUUCCUUUGUUUUGUAUGUAGUUAGUAUGGUCAGGGCGUGAGUUGGGUGGGCAGUCUAUGUUUGUUUUUCUAUGAUUUGGGUAUUUCUAUGUUUUGGCCUAGUAUGGUUCUCAAUCAGAGGCAGGUGUCAUUAGUUGUCUCUGAUUGAGAAUCAUACUUAGGUAGCCUGGGUGUCACUGUGUGUUUGUGGGUGAUUGUUCCUGUCUCUGUGUUUGCACCAGAUAGGACUGUUUUGAGUUUUCACAUUUCUUGUUUUUGUUAGUUUGUUCAUGUGAAGUGAUUUAUUAAAACAUGAAUAACCACCACGCUGCGCUUUGGUCCGCCUCUCGUUCAGAUGAAGAAAACCAUUACACUCCCAAGAAGAAUCUAAAGGAAAGAAAACAUAAGUCUGAUCUCCUCCAUAUCCCUCUGCGGGGCAGGACCAAGCUGUGUGGUGGGCUGUUCUCUGAUCUGCCUGUCUCAUCAGAUUACUGGUGGCAGAGUGACAUAUCUGAAGCCCCCGGCAGAGACUUCAAUGGAGCGCCACACGCAGGACCCAGUUUUCUGGGGAGCCGCCUGGACUGUUUCCGCUCUGCUGUGUGGAAAACGAGAGGCAGUGUGCGUGUGGAAAGUGGAGGGCCUGGGUGAUCAGAGAGGCUAAGAGGGGCUGGUGGCUUACUCAGGGCUCUGGGGAGGAAGGGCACAGGUGACUCUGUGCAGGUGCUUCAGCACACCAGAUGCUGCCCUGGCAUGCACAGACUCAAACAG
rnacentral:lncRNA from 13 species